rnacentral:rRNA from 1 species
GUGGGGAAUAUUGCGCAAUGGCCGAAAGGCUGACGCAGCGACGCCGCGUGGGGGAUGAAGCAUUUCGGUGUGUAAACCCCUGUUGCCCGGGACGAACAAGCGAUUUCGAUCGCUCUGACGGUACCGGGUGAGGAAGCACCGGCUAACUCCGUGCCAGCAGCCGCGGUAAUACGGAGGGUGCGAGCGUUGUCCGGAAUCACUGGGCGUAAAGGGCGCGUAGGCGGUGACUUAAGCGUGUGGUGAAAGCCCGGGGCUCAACCCCGGGUCUGCCGUGCGAACUGGGUCACUCGAGCACUGUAGAGGCAGGUGGAAUUCCGGGUGUAGCGGUGGAAUGCGUAGAGAUCCGGAAGAACACCGGUGGCGAAGGCGGCCUGCUGGGCAGUAGCUGACGCUGAGGCGCGACAGCGUGGGGAGCAAACAGGAUUAGAAACCCGGGUAGUCC